rnacentral:rRNA from 1 species
CCUACGGGAGGCAGCAGUGGGGAAUAUUGCGCAAUGGGCGAAAGCCUGACGCAGCGACGCCGCGUGAGGGAUGAAGGUCUUCGGAUCGUAAACCUCUGUCAGCAGGGAAGAACGGUCACUGUGCUAAUCAGCAGUGAAUUGACGGUACCUGCAAAGGAAGCACCGGCUAACUCCGUGCCAGCAGCCGCGGUAAUACGGAGGGUGGGAGCGUUAAUCGGAAUUACUGGGCGUAAAGCGCUCGUAGGCGGUAUGUCAAGUCAAGGGUGAAAUCCCCGCGCACAACGUGGGAACUGCCUUUGAAACUGGCAGACUGGAGUGUGUGAGAGGAUAGUGGAAUUCCAGGUGUAGGAGUGAAAUCCGUAGAUAUCUGGAGGAACAUCAGUGGCGAAGGCGACUAUCUGGCACAUAACUGACGCUGAGGAGCGAAAGCGUGGGUAGCAAACAGGAUUAGAUACCCUAGUAGUC